AAAUCACCCAAUUUCUUCCCUUCUCUGCUUCCAGAGAUGACUAUGGUGGUGUCACGGAAGAGGUCGAGGCAAGUUCCAACAACCCGAGAUCUAGGGUUUUUCUUUCGAAUUCAUGUCUGAGAUCUCAUGAUUCCACUUGGCUGAGGUAUCUUCUCUGGCGGCGGUAGUGAAUGUGACAACGGUGUACGGGAGCUGCGUGUGUGGAGACUCGAU